rnacentral:ncRNA from 1 species
UGAAUAGCUCUGGGGAGCCGCCAGGCUGAGAGGGCGCGAGGCAGGAAGCCGAGCGCCGACCCGUUGAACCUGAUCCGGAUAAUGCCGGCGCAGGGAGAUAGCGAAGAUCCGGU